rnacentral:lncRNA from 1 species
UAAUUUAUCCCCCCCCCCAUAUGCUUUGGCGAGAGGGGCCGCUUGGCUGCUUGCCAGGUAGCUCUAUUAUACGUGUUGUUCUCGCACUACGCACGCGCGAACGUCUAACCGCCAAGUGCAAUAUUUGAAUAAGAAAACUCGAUCUACCGGUACUACCGUUUUGCUGUUGAUAAGUCCGUCGAUAAUUCAUCAAAAACUAAAGGAACACGGGUCAGAUUCGGACAGCGACUUCAAAGUCAUUUGUAGAAGGCUAUAACAUUUGGACGACGGAUACACUGGAUGAUAAGGUAGAUGAUCCAGCCUUAUCUUGGAAUGACACGACGGGUGUUGAACACAGAAAACGUACCGUGUACAAGAAACAAUUGAAGUUUAUGAAAGCUUCAAGGAAUUAAUC